CCCGACCCCACACCGUUCUCUCUCGCCCUUGCAGGCCAGCCCAAGAGUGCCCCCACCAUCCACCUCUUCCCGCCAUCCGAGGAGGAGCUCUCGACACAGAGCAAAGCCACCCUGGUGUGUCUGCUGGGAGACUUCUACCCUGGCGCCGUGCAGGUGACCUGGACGGCUGAUGGCAAUACCCUCAGCAGCGGCGUCGCGACCAGCCAGCCCCAGCGGCAGAGCAACAACAAGUACAUGGCCAGCAGCUACCUGACGCUGAGUGCCUCUGACUGGAAGAAGUAUGAUAACUAUGUCUGCAAGGUCACGCACGAGGCUGGCGCCGUGCAGAAGUCCCUCACCAGAUCCACGUGCUAA